rnacentral:lncRNA from 1 species
CUCACCUGAAGAGGGAGUAAUUGUUUGGGACACUUAUGAUUUGCUGUUCAAAUUCCAGCUCCUCCCUGGUGUGCCUAGGACACUUCUUUCUCUGGACUACAGACUCCUGUGAAGUGCUUCCACUGACAUUCUGGCAAAGGCUGGAACAAGAAAAGGAAAUCUCCCCAGAGUUCGACCUGUAGGAUCAAACUCAUCAGCCCCCAAGUAAGAGAAACCUACUUACCCAUAAACAUGAUGGCUGCAA